rnacentral:tRNA from 63 species
GCGCCCGUAGCUCAGCUGGAUAGAGCAACGGCCUUCUAAGCCGUGGGUCGCAGGUUCGAAUCCUGCCGGGCGCGCCA